rnacentral:rRNA from 1 species
GACGUAGGGCGCGAGCGUUGUCCGGAUUUAUUGGGCGUAAAGAGCGUGUAGGCGGCUAGGUAGGUCCGUUGUGAAAACUCGAGGCUCAACCUCGAGACGUCGAUGGAAACCAUCUAGCUAGAGUCCGGAAGAGGAGAGUGGAAUUCCUGGUGUAGCGGUGAAAUGCGCAGAUAUCAGGAGGAACACCGAUUGCGAAGGCAGCUCGCUGGGACGUAACUGACGCUGAGACGCGAAAGCGUGGGGAGCAAACAGG